CCAGCUACAGAAUUCCCUUAAGCCAAAGCCUAUUCCAGAGCAAGGCCCUAACUCUUUUCUGAAGAAGCUGCAGAAGAAAAGUUUGAAGCAAACAGAAGUUGGUUCAUGAAGCUUAAGGAAAGAGGCCAUUUCCAUAACAUAAAAGUGUAAGGUGAAGCAGCAAGUGCUGAUGUAGAAACUGAGGCAAGUUAUGCAGAAGAUCUAGCUAAGACCAAUCAUGAAGGUGGCCACACUAAACAACAGAAUUUCAAUGGAGAUGAAACAGCCUUCUAUUGGAAGAAGAUGCCAGCUAGGACUUUUGUAGCUGGAGAGGAGAAGUCAAUGCCUGGCUUAAAGCUUUAUAGGACAGGCUGACUUUUUUAUGAGGGGCCAAUGGAGCUGGUGACUUUAAAUUGAAGCCCGUGCUUACUUACCAUUAUGAAAAUCCUAGGGCUUUUCAGAAUUAUGCUAAUUCUACUCUGCCUAUGCUCUAUAAGUGGAACAACAAAGCCUGGAUAACAGUGUGUCUGUUUACAACAUGGUUUACUGAAUACUUUCAGCCCACUGUUGAGAUCUACUGCUAAGAAAAAAAAAUUCUUUUCAAAAUAUUACUGCUUAUUGUUAAUGCACCUGGUCACACAAGAACUCUGAUAGAGAUGUACAAUGAGAUUAGUGUUGUUUUCAUGCCUGCUAACCCAGUACCCAAGCUGCAGCCCAUGGAUCAAGGAGUACUCUCACCUUUCAAAUCUUAUUAUUUAAGAAACACAUUUCAUAAGGCUAUAGCUGCCAUAGGUAGUGAUUCACAUGGUGGAUCUGGACAAAGUCAAUUAAAAUCUCUGGAAAGGAUUCAACAUUUCAUAUACAAUUAAGAACAUUCAUGAUUUAUGGAAUAAGGUCAAAAUAUCAACAUCAACAGGAGUUUGGAAGAAGUUGAUCCCAACCCUCAUGGAUGACUUUGAGGAGUUCAAGAUUUCAGUGGAUGAAGUAACACAGAUGUGGAGGAAAGAGCAAAAGAUCUAGAAUUAGAAGUGGAGACUGAAGAUGUACUGAACUGCCUCAACAUCUUGAUAAAUCUUCAGUGAUUGAAGAGUUGCUUCCUAUAGAUGAACAAAGAAAGUGGUUUCUUGAGAUAGAAACUAUGGAGCUGCUAUGAAGAUUGUUGCAGUGACAACAAAGGAUUUAGAAUAUUUCAUAAACUUAAUUGAUAAAGCAGUGGCAGCAUUUGAGAGGAUUGAUUCCAAUUUUGAAAGAAGUUCUACUGAGGGCAAAAUGCUGUCAAACUGUACCACAUGCUAUGGAGAGAUUGUUUGUGAAAGGAAAAGUCAGUUAAUGCAGCAAACUUUAUUGUUGUCUUCUCAGAAAUUGCCACAGACACUCCAGCCCUCGGCAAAUGCCACCCUGAUCAGUCAGUGACCGUCACCAUUGAGGUGACUUUCUAAUUGCUGACCUAUGGGGAGACAACAUUUCUAAAUGUUCAACAACAACCAAGGAUGGUCACAAUCUUCUGACUCUAAGAAGACAAAAUGAAGCCCUUUCUGACUAUGAAAUGGCCAUGUGCACUGAGUAACUAGGAAACUGAAGCGUAGAGAAAUCAUGUGGCUUAUCUAAAGGUAACCAGUUGUUAACAAAAUCAGAAGAAAAGUAAGUUCUCUUGAAUUCUUAUGUAGCUUUUCUUUACUGUUAAAAUUUGAAUUUUAAUAUUUGAAUUAUCCAUAUGAUUUCUUUUUAUUGGUUAAAGUGCCCUGGAUCACUUAUCACUUCAUCUGACCUAACUCAUGUAUAUGAAGAUACUAGUGCCAAACCUUUCCUAGAUUCCCCCUUCUCUGAGCUCAUGAUAACCUUAAAUCCCAGUACGUAAGACUUUCAAUCUCUUAGACAGUUGAUUAUGCCAAAUGCUUAGCAUGCGGCCAAUAGAUGACUCCAGGCUAUUGAUGAUUUCAUUAAAUCUUUCCCAAUCUAUUUAUUUACACAAUUUCAGCUGGAAAAAAAAUGCACUGAAAUGAAACAUCUCAUUUCCAGUCCUGGCCUGAGGCAAAAGGAGACAAUGAUACAUAUCCCCAAUUUAGACUAGACAAAACUAGCUACAUUUCAAAUAGAGAAUUCACAUUGUGAGUUUAAAACCAAGUUAACCUGAAACGAGACAUUUUCUCCCUGUAUAUCUGUGCACAGCUUCAGUUGAUGGAACUAUGAACUGUGUAUCUGAACCAAAGGACCAAAUUUUUCUAAAGAAAUGUUAAAACUGGCAAAUUAACUCAAACACUGCCUUAGAGUUUCCCCCUUUUUCUUUCCUGUUGUGGUGGUCACUGUGGCAUUCACUGGUGGCAGACAAAUGAAAAAGUGUUUUAUUGAAUUAUCUUGAUUGCCAUAUUGAUCAUUUUUUGUUGCUUUUGUUCCUAAGCACAGAAAGGAAAAAAAAAAAAAAAAAAAAAAAAAAAAAAAAAA